rnacentral:rRNA from 1 species
GACGAACGCUGGCGGCGUGCUUAACACAUGCAAGUCGAACAGUGGCGAACGGGUGAGUAACACGUGAGUAACCUGCCCUCCACUUUGGGAUAACUCCGAGAAAUCGGGGCUAAUACUGGAUAGUGGGGGAUGGGCUCGCGGCCGAUCAGUUUGUUGGUGAGGUAGUGGUCACCAAGGCGUGACGGGUAGCCGGCCUGAGAGGGCGACCGGCCACAAGGGGACGGGGGCAGGGGCAGGAGUCGGACGGGAGGCAGCAGUGGGGAAUAUUGCACAAUGGGCGAAAGCCUGAGGCAGGGACGCCGCGUGGGGGAGGACUGCCUUCGGGGUGUAAACCUCUUUCAGCAAGGAAGCGGUACUUGCAGAAGAAGCGCCGGCUAACUACGUGCCAGCAGCCGCGGUAAUUC